AUUGAACGCUGGCGGCAUGCUUUACACAUGCAAGUCGAACGGUAACAGGCCGCAAGGUGCUGACGAGUGGCGAACGGGUGAGUAAUGCAUCGGAACGUGCCCAGUCGUGGGGGAUAACGCAGCGAAAGCUGUGCUAAUACCGCAUACGAUCUGUGGAUGAAAGCGGGGGACCUUCGGGCCUCGCGCGAUUGGAGCGGCCGAUGUCAGAUUAGGUAGUUGGUGGGGUAAAGGCUCACCAAGCCAACGAUCUGUAGCUGGUCUGAGAGGACGACCAGCCACACUGGGACUGGGACACGGCCCAGACUGCUACGGGAGGCAGCAGUGGGGAAUUUUGGACAAUGGGCGCAAGCCUGAUCCAGCAAUGCCGCGUGCAGGAAGAAGGCCUUCGGGUUGUAAACUGCUUUUGUACGGAGCGAAAAGGCUCCCUCUAAUACAGGGGGCUCAUGACGGUACCGUAAGAAUAAGCACCGGCUAACUACGUGCCAGCCGCCGCCGUAACAC
rnacentral:rRNA from 1 species